rnacentral:rRNA from 1 species
CCUACGGGUGGCAGCAGUGGGGAAUAUUGCACAAUGGGGGGAACCCUGAUGCAGCGACGCCGCGUGAGUGAAGAAGGAUUUCGGUAUGUAAAGCACUAUCAGCAGGGAAGAAAAUGACGGUACCUGACUAAGAAGCCACGGCUAACUACCUGCCAGCAGCCGCGGUAAUACGUAGGGUGCAAGCGUUAUCCGGAUUUACUGGGGGUAAAGUGAGCGCAGGCGGCUGUGCAAGUCUGGAGUGAAAGGCGCGGGCCCAACCCGCGGACUGCUCUGGAAACUGUAAAGCUGGAGUGCAGGAGAGGGAAGCGGAAUUCCUGGUGUAGCGGUGAAAUGCGUAGAGAUUAGGAGGAACACCAGUGGCGAAGGCGGCUUACUGGACUGAAACUGACGUUGAGGCUCGAAAGCGUGGGGAGCAAACAGGAUUAGAUACCCUUGUAGUC